UGUAUUUACAGAAUGAUAUCAUACACUUUACAUCAUUAAAUAUGUUGUGUCAUGCAAUUUCUAGAUUACAGAUAUGGGGCAAAAAUCUAAAGACAAGAAGAAGAAAAAGGAAUCCAUGCUCAAUCUGAUACAUGAACCCCCUGUCAAACAUACCCUCGCCUCGGUUCACGUGGAACUCAAAGACCUGCUGGAGGGAAAGAAUCAAAUUCAAGUAAAGUGUGACCUGGGGGUGCUGUUCUCAGAAAAGAGCAUGAGGACCACUGUGAGCCGUGACAAGGAGCAAAGUAAGAGGCCUAAAGAAGUAAAGAAAGAGGAGAGGAAAAACAUCUCAAGUGGAGAAACGAGUGCUCAGAGGACUGGAACAUCUUCUAAAGGUAAAGGUAAACGACGGGUGGAGAAUGAGACUCCAUCUGCUCCAGCUGAUGACCUCAUGCAUUCCAGCAUGGAGCCGCUAGUUGUGGAGUUCAGUGUGCAGCUUGGCAGAGUGACGUCUACUUCCCAAUUCACAAACCCACACUGUUCUACAACAACACUGUCUGAUCUUUAGGGUGGCCAGAGGGUCAGGAGUGGUUACAAUAUUACUUUAUAAUGAAACAUUUUUAGACAAUUGCUCAUCUAACAUUUCUUCUGAAACCAGUGUUUAAUAAAGAACUUUGUUUCCUCUUCUGCUGAAGUAAU
rnacentral:lncRNA from 1 species